GGAGCGGCGCGGAGGACGCAGGCGCGAGCUAAGGAGCGUCGUCUGGUUUCCGCCCUUCCGCUAACCAACCGCCAUUCUUCCCGAGGAAUCGGCGCGUGGUAGCCGCUGGCGUCCUGUCCUCAGUCAGACUGCGGGGGAACUUGGGCGGCGCCCUUGGCGUUUGUCCGCUCCCUGUUGCUCACUGCUCUAUCUGUUGGCCGGCGCUUCCGCUGCUUGGCUUCGGCGGUUUUCCUUCACCUCAGGUACAGGCGUCGCAGCAAACGUAGUCCAAGGCCGUCACGUGCUGUUGGUGUGCUGGGCGCAGUGCUAGCACAGUGGGGGCGCGUUCACUCUACGUAAUCCUCACCACGGUCCUCUGAAGUCAGUAGUAUUGCCGUUGUCAUCCUCCAGAAGAGGAAACGAAGACUUUCUCCGUGACUACCGUGACGAAAGUGAAAACUAGUGAUCUACAAAGAUGGGAUUAUGGAAGAAUAUGAUGAGUCAGUUAAAUUAUGGCAAAAAGUGAAAAGAGAGAAUAUAUACUUAUCAACUACAGAAGAUACAAACAUAGUUUAAAAUUUAUGAGGAAACAGUUAAGUAUCUCCUGCAAGCAGUUGGAAAUAGAGACACAAGACAGAAACUAAGCCCUGGCAUGGCUCAGAAUGAAAAGCGAAAUACAAAAAAUAUAAAAUACAAAUUCAAGAAGGAAAAUGAAAGAGAUACUGUAGAAAUAGUGUAAGCAACAAGAGCAAUAAAUAUGAAAAUCUCGAAGUUAUUAAGUUUCUCGAGAAAGCUAAACCAUCAAAAUCGGGACAUGACAGAAAAUAGACAGACUGAUAACCGCUGAAGAAGUUGACCGAGUAAAUGGUAAUUUCCUCCCAAAACAACUCUAGGCUUUCAAUUCCCUCAUUUGCUGUCCUUCAAGACUCUCUUGGCUAUUCUUGACCGUUUGCUCUUUCACUUAAAUUUUUAAAUCAGCCUUUUCACAUUUCAAAAUAAAUCUUGUCAUUAUUGUGAAUGGAACUGCAUUGAAUUUGUAAACUAACCGAGAAGAAUUGUCUCUGUGAAUUUAAGUUAUCCUGCCCACGACGAAAGCUGUUAUUUAAGUCUUCUUUAAUGUCUUUUAAUUAGGACAUCUUUUUUUCUGUAAAGAUCCUACACAUCUUUUGUUAGAUGAAUCAUUGAAUAACUUACUUUGGGGGUAUAACUUUAUAAAUUACAUGUUCUAAUUUUGUUGGUAUAUAGGAAUGUAAUUGAUUUAUACAUUGAUCUCCUAUCCAGCAAGAUACUAAACUUAGUUAUUUAUUCUCUUGGAUUCUCUGUAUAACUGUAGGCAGUUACACAGUGUGUGAAUAAUAAUAAAUUUAUUUGUAUUUCCAGUAAAGGUGAUUUUUUUCUUUUAAGAAUUUUAACACAUGUAUAGAUAUGUGUAAUAAUUGCCAUACUCAGGACAGAGAAUCGUUUAAUCACCCCCAUCCAAUCGACUUCCUGCUAUUCCUUUGUACUCACCCCAACAAUCCAUUAAUCCAGGCCACUGCUGAUCUGCUCUCCAUCCCUAU